GACGAACGCUGGCGGCGUGCCUAAUACAUGCAAGUAGAACGCUGAAGGAGGAGCUUGCUUCUCUGGAUGAGUUGCGAACGGGUGAGUAACGCGUAGGUAACCUGCCUGGUAGCGGGGGAUAACUAUUGGAAACGAUAGCUAAUACCGCAUAAUAGUAGAUGUUGCAUGACAUUUGCUUAAAAGGUGCAAUUGCAUCACUACCAGAUGGACCUGCGUUGUAUUAGCUAGUUGGUGGGGUAACGGCUCACCAAGGCGACGAUACAUAGCCGACCUGAGAGGGUGAUCGGCCACACUGGGACUGAGACACGGCCCAGACUCCUACGGGAGGCAGCAGUAGGGAAUCUUCGGCAAUGGACGGAAGUCUGACCGAGCAACGCCGCGUGAGUGAAGAAGGUUUUCGGAUCGUAAAGCUCUGUUGUAAGAGAAGAACGAGUGUGAGAGUGGAAAGUUCACACUGUGACGGUAUCUUACCAGAAAGGGACGGCUAACUACGUGCCAGCAGCCGCGGUAAUACGUAGGUCCCGAGCGUUGUCCGGAUUUAUUGGGCGUAAAGCGAGCGCAGACGGUUAGAUAAGUCUGAAGUUAAAGGCUGUGGCUUAACCAUAGUACGCUUUGGAAACUGUUUAACUUGAGUGCAAGAGGGGAGAGUGGAAUUCCAUGUGUAGCGGUGAAAUGCGUAGAUAUAUGGAGGAACACCGGUGGCGAAAGCGGCUCUCUGGCUUGUAACUGACGCUGAGGCUCGAAAGCGUGGGGAGCAAACAGG
rnacentral:rRNA from 1 species